rnacentral:rRNA from 1 species
UACAGAGGGGGCAAGCGUUAUUCGGAAUUAUUGGGCGUAAAGGGCGCGUAGGCGGCCUGGCAAGUGGAAGGUGAAAUCCCUCGGCUUAACCGAGGAACUGCCCUCCAAACUGCUUGGCUUGAGUCCGGGAGAGGUGAGUGGAAUUCCCAGUGUAGCGGUGAAAUGCGUAGAUAUUGGGAAGAACACCGGUGGCGAAGGCGGCUCACUGGCUCGUAACUGACGCUCAUGCACGACAGCGUGGGGAUCAAACAGG